GAUGAACGCUGGCGGCGUGCCUAAUACAUGCAAGUCGAGCGAACGGACGAGAAGCUUGCUUUUCUGAUGUUAGCGGCGGACGGGUGAGUAACACGUGGAUAACCUACCUAUAAGACUGGGAUAACUUCGGGAAACCGGAGCUAAUACCGGAUAAUAUUUUGAACCGCAUGGUUCAAAAGUGAAAGACGGUCUUGCUGUCACUUAUAGAUGGAUCCGCGCUGCAUUAGCUAGUUGGUAAGGUAACGGCUUACCAAGGCCACGAUGCAUAGCCGACCUGAGAGGGUGAUCGGCCACACUGGAACUGAGACACGGUCCAGACUCCUACGGGAGGCAGCAGUAGGGAAUCUUCCGCAAUGGGCGAAAGCCUGACGGAGCAACGCCGCGUGAGUGAUGAAGUUCUUCGGAUCGUAAAACUCUGUUAUUAGGGAAGAACAUAUGUGUAAGUAACUGUGAACAUCUUGACGGUACCUAAUCAGAAAGCCACGGCUAACUACGUG
rnacentral:rRNA from 1 species